CAUGGUUAGUUGCGGUCGUUAGCUGUCAACCGAUCUAAAGCACAUUCUGAAGCAGUCACGUGGUAUUGAGGGGGAGCGAGGCUUCGUUUGUCAUCGGUGACGUCACUGGCCCAAAACGAUACAAGCUUCACAAAAAGCUUCGGGGAUUACUCGACACACGCUCCGAAGCCUCGACGCAAUACGUAACAGCACUAGUUAGCUGAUCGUUACUCGUAGUGCAGCUCAGUGAGUUUAAUCAGAGUCAGGCCGGUUCUUCUACAGCUCCAUGGUCCGGACAGCCCGCGGGAUGAAGGCCUGUGUCACCGGGCUGCUGCACUGCCUGCUGGUGGGACACAUCUCGAGCUGGGAGGACGGCAGCGUGCUGCUGCGGGACGUCCAGGCGCUGACACUGUACCGGGGCCGCUACACCACGGCGAGGCGCUCCAGCCCCGUGCUGCAGCUGCAGUGUGUGGGGGGUUCUGCGGGGUGCCAGGCCUUCAGCCCAGAUGUGGUCCAGUGUCAGAACAAAGGCUGGGAUGGGGUGGAUGUACAGUGGGAGUGUAAGACUGAUAUGGACAAUGCCUACCGAUUUGGUCGCAUUGAGGUGAGCUGUGAGGGCUACAGCCAACCUGCUGACGCCCUCAUCCUGAGGGGCUCCUGUGGGCUGGAGUACACUCUGGAGCUGACUGAAGGGGGUCGGAGGACAGCCCAGGGCAGCGGGGGCACGCAUGGUGGAUCUAAAGGAGGUCUGGGGGGCUUUGCCUCCAGUUUCUUCAGCGGUUUCUCUGGAAACAAGCAUCAGGGUCAACAGCAGAGCCAGCAGAGUGCGUCCCCCUCAGGCGGGGAGGACUCAGCUGGCCUGCUGGGGGUUGCUGUGCUUCUGCUCUUAGCCUUCGGAGUCUACAAGCUUUUCCUCAGUGGGAACACGGCCCAGGGGGGGCAGGACGGAGGACAGGCUGGAGGACAGGCUGGUUACCCAAGAGAUGAUCACCACAGCUCCAGCACAGGACCCCCGCCCCCAGGAUUCAAACCUGACUUCACAGGCAGCUCAGGCUAUGCUGGUGCCGACCCUGGCUACGGUUUCCACAGCGACUACACUCGCAGACAACAGUUCCCAGGAGGCCAGGCUCGCCCCACAACAGGUGGAGGCUUCUGGACUGGGAUGGGAGCAGGAGGGCUGCUGGGAUAUAUGUUUGGCAGUCAGAGGGCCUUCUGGGUGUUUGUGUUUCAGAAGUCAGCCCCACAGCAACUCCUACUCAUCGUACACUGACAGACGUCCUGCUGCUGGAGGCUCCUCCACCUCUUCCUCUGGGACACGCACUGCUUCAGGGUUUGGAGGAACCAAGAGAAGAUAGAGGCCGUGGAGCUGGACGGACCAUGGAUGGCACUGAGAAUAAUACAAGAACAUCAGGAGAAGACCUUUCUUCAUGCACAGAGGAAUUUGUCCACCAACACAGUAACAGCAGCAUACGGAGCUGGAGGACGCCAGCCGCUGACAAGAAGCCUCGUCUGAGUUACUUCUUCUCUGAAGGGUGCUUCGGUGUUGUUUGGAAAAGCUUUGCAUUACUUUGAUGUGUUUUCAGAAGAUGAUGUUGCCGUUGUUAAUUGGUUCAAUUCGAAUUUUGUAUGCAGAUGACAUAUUCCAGUGUGAAUAAAUGGUAUUUGUUUAUUAAUUGUA